AGGACGAACGCUGGCGGCGUGCCUAACACAUGCAAGUCGAACGAGGUCCAACCGGUAGCAAUACUGGUGAAGACCAAGUGGCGAACGGGUGAGUAGCACGUGAGCAACCUGCCCCGAAGACCGGGACAACACCGGGAAACCGGUGCUAAUACCGGAUAUCCCCACCGAGUCGCAUGGCUUGGUGAGGAAAUGGAUUCCGCUUCGGGAGGGGCUCGCGGCCUAUCAGCUAGUUGGUGAGGUAACGGCUCACCAAGGCUUCGACGGGUAGCUGGUCUGAGAGGACGAUCAGCCACACUGGGACUGAGACACGGCCCAGACUCCUACGGGAGGCAGCAGUGGGGAAUCUUGCACAAUGGGCGAAAGCCUGAUGCAGCAACGCCGCGUGAGGGACGAAGGCUUUCUGAGUUGUAAACCUCUUUCAGCAGGGACGAUUGUGACGGUACCUGCAGAAGAACGCCCGGCCAACUACGUGCCAGCAGUCGC
rnacentral:rRNA from 1 species